CCUACGGGAGGCAGCAGUGGGGAAUAUUGGGCAAUGGAGGAAACUCUGACCCAGCGACGCCGCGUGCGGGAUGAAGGCCUUCGGGUUGUAAACCGCUUUCAGUAGGGAAGAAGCGAAAGUGACGGUACCUACAGAAGAAGCACCGGCUAACUAUGUGCCAGCAGCCGCGGUAAUACAUAGGGUGCAAGCGUUGUCCGGAAUUAUUGGGCGUAAAGAGCUCGUAGGUGGUUCGUCACGUCGGAUGUGAAAAUCUGGGGCUCAACCCCAGACCUGCAUUCGAUACGGGCGAUCUAGAGUGUGGUAGGGGAGACUGGAAUUCCUGGUGUAGCGGUGGAAUGCGCAGAUAUCAGGAGGAACACCAAUGGCGAAGGCAGGUCUCUGGGCCAUUACUGACACUGAGGAGCGAAAGCGUGGGGAGCGAACAGGAUUAGAUACCCUGGUAGUCCACGCCGUAAACGGUGGGCACUAGUUGUGGGAACCUUCCACGGUUUCUGCGACGCNGCUACGCAUAGUAGCCCGCCGUCGGGAGGUACGAGCGCGAGAAGUAAACGUAACUAAAGGUAAGUUAGUUACGGCGUGAGACGUAGCCGACGGACGACGACGAGGGAGGAGG
rnacentral:rRNA from 1 species